UGUGACCUUCACUCACGUCAGACGCCGGUCGCCCGCUUUACUUUCCAAAAAUAACCCUCAUGUGAUUCCGGCGCCAGGAAGAGGGGUUCGAAACUCGAUUCCAGCCGAGCUGCUCUGCUGCUGGUGGACAGCCUUUGCUCAAUUAAGGAAAAAUGAUUUCUGAAGAUCAAGGUCCCAUUCUGGCAUAAAGCUCAUGAUCCAACAGGGAGCAGUGAUCCCUCCCCUCCUGAGACGUGGACUCUCUGUAGAAGGCACCGUAAAGCACUGAAAAUACAAGCAAUGUUACAUUCAUAAGAUCCACUAGCAGGCUCACGGAGUUCCUCCAGCAGAUUGUCUUUGCUCCGUAGUCCAGCUUUGUUGGGUUGUAUCAGAGCCUGGAAUGGAAACACCGAUGCCCAGCAACAGGAAAGUCUACAGAAAGUGGUGCAUCCAGCCUAAUGCAUCACAGGCAAAGCUUUGCCCACCAUUGAGCGCAUUUACAAGGAGUGCAAGAAAGCAGCAUCCGUCAUCGACAAUCCUGAUUAUCUGGGUCACGCUCUCUUCUCACUACUACUAUUGGACAGGAGGUCACGAGCCUUGGGUCCCACGCAACCAGGUUCAGGAACAGUUGCUACCCUACGACCAUCAGAUUCCUGAAAUGGUGUGGAUAACUUCACUCACCACAAUCCUGAAUUGAUUCCACAACCUACAGACUCACUUUCAAGGGCUCUACAACUUGUGUUUUCAGUACUAUUCAGUUUUAUUUUCAUAAUUUGUCUUCUUUUCUGCAUUGGUUGUUUGUCAGUCUUUAUGUAUGGUUGCCAAUUAAUUUAUUGUAAUUUCUUUGUUUUCUUGUAAAUGCGGUGCAAGUAAAUGAAUUUCAGGGUAGUAAUACAGUGACAUUUACCUUUGGUAAUAAAUCUACCUUGACUUUGAUAUUUGUACACCCGAUGCCAGACUCCUAAAACGAGCCCUGAUUUCCAAGGUCUGUCAUGCAAAGUGAUUACUGGCCAGACAGAGGAAAAGAUUCAAAGAUAUGAUCAAAGUCAUCUUGACAAAUUGCAAUAUCACUUCUGAAUCCUGACUACUCGAAGUAUAGAAGUUAUAUUCAGAAUGGUAUUAUAAACCUUUCUACCAGAUUCCAUUCUAUCAAUGAAUACUUUGUAAUAAGAGGAAAAUAAUUGUCUUAUCUCCCAACUAAUAAUAAACUCAUAUCUAAGCUUGAGGUAGUGUGUUCAGGUGGAUGUGAAAUAAUACAUUUCAAAAUUAACAUCAAAGGAUGAUUCUGGUUUACUUUAUAAGAGAUCAUGAGCAUUUUUUAAAAAACGAGAAAACUAGAGUAAAUUGAAGUUGAGAAAAAAAAUGAUUUUGGCCAUCAUCAGUCUAGAGUGUCAGAGCUACCAUUAGCCACCAUUCCCUUCGAGACUUGUUAAAGGCAUUAUUUACAUGAAGGUUUUUCUGUCAUUAUUUGGAACUGAUUAUCUUAAUAAAUUAAUGCACAUUUCCAGUGAUACAGUUCAUUAGAUGUACUUUAAAUUCUUGGGAAAAGAGUCACAGAUUUGUAUAUCUGAAAAACAGGUUCACAGUGUCCACGCUGAUGCACCUAUACUAAUGCUAUUUAUCAUCCUCUUGAAAAGUUCGCACAUCCUUCCUGAUAAUGAAGCAACCAGAACUGAAAACAGUAAUCCAAAUGUGGUCCAACCAGGGUUUUAUCGAGCUGUAACAUUACUUCAUGGCUCUUGAACUCAUGCCUAAUGAAGGCCACACGUUACACCUUCUUAACCAUCCUUAUCAACUUAAUGUGGCCACUGUAUGGGAUCCAUGGAUGUGUACCCCACGAUCCAUCUGUUCCACCACAUUGCUAAGAAUGUUGCCAUUAACCCUGUACUCUACUCUCAAGCUCAAUUUUCCAAAGUACAUCACUUCACACUUAUCCGAAUUGAACUCCAUCUACCUCUCCUCAGCUAUGCCCUGCAGUCUAUCAAUGUCAAGUCGCUUUUUAUUGUCAUUUCAACCAUAAACUGUUGGUACGCUACACAGUACGAAACGAUGUUUCUCCAGGACCAUGGCGCUACAUGAAACAACACAAAACAACACUAGACCUGCACAGGUUUACAUAAAGUGCACAAAGCAGUGCAGGGCAGUACAAUAAUUAAUUAAUAAAUAACUAAUUAAUAAACAAAACAAUAGGCACAGUAGAGGACAAAUUUCAAUAUAAUAAUAAAUGACGUAGAUGUCAGUCUAGACUCUGGGUACAGAGGAGUCUGAUGGCUUCCAUAUGUAACCUAUGAAAACCUUCAAGGAUGAUGUAACUUUUAUGGAUAUGCCAUAUAGGCAAAUCUGAUCCUCAGUACUUCUAUUAGUGAUGUGGUGUAGAAUUCAAAGUCAAUAGAAAUGAAAAAUUCACAAGUAUCAACUGCAUAAAGCUAAGGAAAUAUGCAAAGCUUGCGCUUUGAUUAUUUUACCUCUGCCACACAGCAUACUAAAUGCUGGUGUAUCAGUCAGUUGAAUUGACUAGGGAGAUGCAUCAGAAUUAAUCAGAAAUAAAUCAUGGAAUUUUAAUUACAAAAAAGAGCAAAUUUAGCUUCUUAUUCCUGUGGUAGCUCUUGUAAAGAGAUAUCUAAGCAGUCCAUUUUUCGAUGUCUGUCAUUUCUUCUUGUCCUGCAUAUUUUUAAGUAUAUAUCCAAUUUGCAGUGUUCUUAUUAGGACAGGUCAGAAGGCGAGAGAGCAAAUUUCAGUGCAAUCAUGAUGAGACUUCAAAGAUCGUGCAAAAAAUUAAAGAUAAGGGAUCAUGAGCAUUUUUUUUUAAAACCGAGAAAACUUGAGUAAACUGAAGUUGAGAAAAAAAAUGAUUUUGGCCAUCAUCAGGCCAGAGUGUCAGAGCUACCAUUAGCCAGCAUUCCCUUCGAGACUUGUUAAAGGCAUUAUUUACAUGAAGGUUUUUCUGUCAUUAUUUGGAACUGAUUAUCUUAAUAAAUUAAUGCACAUUUCCAGUGAUACAGUUCAUUAGAUGUACUUUAAAUUCUUGGGAAUAGUCACAGAUUUGUAUACCUGAAAAACAGGUUCACAGUGUCCAUGCAUAUCACACAUAACCAUCUUUAACAAUUCAAAACGUACAUCCUUUUCAGACUUGAAUUUUAAUAGUCAAACAUACUUACAGAAAACAAGUGGCAAGAAAAAUGUUUUUGAAACUUCAUAUUUUGUCUAUAAAUAAACUUACAUGACAGAAUAUAUAACACAUGUACACUAAUUUUCCAUGUUAUAACUCUUUGGUAUUCAAAUAUGCAAAUAUGCAUCCUUAAUAUGUACGCUUGAUUAUUGCAUAGCAAGAGUAUUCUUAAGCAUUUGCUUUAAUUACCAUCAAACGUUUUGUAGAAAUAUGAAUUUCUACUAUAGAAGUUAAAGCUGCUUAAUUGUCUACUUUUCUGACAUCAGAAAUAUGAGAAGACAGUAGCAAUGUUAGUAUUGAAAAUUAAAAUAAUUUUAUAAAUAAUAUAUAUUCUCAUGCUUUAUUGAAUGACAGUUCUGACAGAUACAUGGACAGUAAAGCUUUAGAAAUAUCUCCAUAGUUGUAAAGGUAAAAUACAAUAAUAUUUUGUGCUUAGCAAGAGAUAACAACAAAUAUUUAUGCAGAAUAGUGCUAAUUAUUGUGCCAUUCAGAAAGGAUAUAUAAGACUUUGAUUUUGCAUUGAAUCCUAAGCUGUCAAAAAGGGAAAAGGUCCCUAGAAAGAUGAGUGCAGAAAGGACAGUUCAUUUCACAUCUUUAAUGUAGACAUGACCCCCAGGAGGACCACAGCCUUGUGGUAGGGUUUGGAGUCUUGCAUGCCUCAAUGACCCAGAGAGCCAAUUUGGCUAAAGUCAAAGCCUUGUGCUUUGGCUGUUGGUAGGGUCACCCACGCCAAACAACUCAAAGGGUAAAGGUCAGACUAAGUGUGGUCCACCGGUCCUCCAGGUUUGAUGGUUCAACUCAGGGCUAACAACUCUGACUGGUCAAAAAAAGUUGUUAGGGAAACAGCAAUGAAGAAUCCUUUUACCUCUGUGUGUGUUGGUAUGGACGUACAGAAAUGGCGGACCUUCACUGCUGCCCUAAAUGUCAGCGGCAUAAUGGGCAGUAAAUAAGUAAUGCAGACAUGAAUGUCUAAUUACUUAUACCUAUGAGAGAGAGUUUGAAAUUUCAGCCUGAUUGGUAUUUAGGAUAUUGUGCAUGAUUAACUACUGAUAAACAGUAAGAAAGCUACGGUAAUAAUUGUAAUGAUCAUCUUCACUGCAGAAAUGAGAGCUUGUUUAAAAAAAAAUGCAUUAACUCUUGAAGAACAGGGAAUUCUUCUAGUGCCCUCGCUAAAAUUUAUCCCUCAAUCAUUAAUAUAAUCAACUAUAAUAAAUUAUCCCUCAUUAAUACUAUUGAGACAUUAUGGCAUACAAUUGGUCGACAAAUUCCCAUUCAUUGUAAUAACAGCUGAUUAUCUCUUCGGAAAAGUAUGAAAGUCAAAGGCAGGGUUUUGUUUUCUGGUGCGUAUUCCAACAUCAAAUGAUGAAAUCAUUAGAUUGCUUACUUUUUUGUGCCUUUCUCACUUAGAAUUCCUGUUAACUUCUCAAUUAGGUAUUAGCUCAUUGAGACAUUCAAAACAUUUUAAAAUUGAAUACUGCAACCUUUUCCAAUUGAUUACCAGAUUCAAUUCUGUUCCAAGAGUUCAGUUUAUUCUUUCAAUACCUCAAAUUGAUUCUUUAUUGCGUGGGUACUUCAAACGAAUAAAGCCUGGUGUAUCUGGUAGGCCGCUGUUAAGGUAAUGGAAGUGGCCAUCAGUUGCUAGAAAGCUGAUUUCAUAUGGAGUCUGAAGUGAAAUGAUAUUGUCAGGCUAUAUGUUAAUCACAAACUAAGCCUGUGAGGCAAUCUGAAACAUGAAAAUACUGAAGCUUUUCAAAGUAGCAAAUACUGAAUUAAAGUGAAAGAUAAAUCAAAAAAUAUAAAUUGAAGAACAGAAAGCAGAAGGUUUUCACACAACAAACGGAAGGUUUGUCACAUAACAAUAUUCCAGGAUUUGAAUUAGUUUAAUGAGACCUCAGCAAAUUGACUGUGAGCCAUUAGGAUUUGCUGCUGUUGCGUAGCACAGAAUAGGAGAAUCAUGUAGCACUUCUAAUAUUUGCCAUUCGGUGGUGCUAUGUCUGUUAGGGCACUUUCUGGACUGAGGGUGUAUUGCAAAAUAUUAACUUCAGCAACCAAUCUUUAGACCUGAACGAGGACUGUAGAUUCAAUUAAAAAUGCAGCUCUGGACAAUUGGUUCUCAGAGCUGUGAACAGCAGUUAAAUUGAAAAAUGAGACAAUACUGAUUUAACAUUCAUUUUCGAUGUCUGGGAUUUGGGUGUGAGGAAGGUGGUGAGAAAGUUACAUGUAAUUCAAAGGAAGCACUGUAGAUACAUAGUAAAUAUAGAAUUGACAUUUGAUCUUUAGCAUACAAAAUGUCAUGUAAUAUUGGGUUGAACAACCUCUUCCUCUGAAAAGGUCUCAAUACGAUGCCUGCAGUGUCUCAUUUUGUUGAAUAAAAGACUAUUUCAUAUCUAUGUCUCUAGGGUGACUUUGUUCACAUUACAACGUCAAUCCUUCAAUUCAUUGUUCAAUGAAGAAUAAUUGAACAAGGAUGGACUAUAAUGUUCUUUCCAAAAUAGUUAAAAGGUUAACCAAUUAGCUAUUACCAAAUUUUUACAAAAUCUAUAGUUUUAAAUAAAUACCAUGAAUUCAAAUUAACAAGAUUUAAAACAUUUUACAGUUCAAGUUGAUUUUAGUUACUUUGUAAUCUACCAAAGGUUAUCUUUGAUAGUCCUGAAGUAAUAAAACAAAAUAUUAAAACUAGCAGUGAACACUGAUUACCAAAUUUGCAUAUAGAGAAAGCAGCUUUAUUGUCACAAAUUAAUGGAUUGAAUCCAGUUCGUCAAUUGUAGAGAUAGUGGGAAAUGAUUGAUUUAAGGCCAAUGAAUUUAACAGAGUAACAUGUUACCUGCUCACCUUCUGCAUUCAAACAGUAAGAAGUUUACAACACACAGUGCCCCAGAACCGAAUCUUGCUGAAUUGUUUUCGUUUGUGUUUGACUUGUUAAACAACAAGAAUAUAUAUGGCUCUGAGGAGUAAAGAGUGAUAUUAUCAGGUGACACACUGAUUCAUGUGAAGUCAAAGUGAGAAGCUGUACUGGGAACUGGAUAAUGAUUGGGGCCACUAGAUUUGUCCAUCUUUUUUCACUCAUGAGAUUGAUUUAGAAUUGGAAAGUGUGCAGGAGAUUGAAAGUGUGCUUAAAAUGAGGAACAUGUGAGCAUUAGUUGAUUGGCUCUGUGAUGAUAUUUAAAUCACAUCAUGCCUUGUGUCUGAAUGAUACUGUGGAGCUUUUUUUUUUAUCCUCCAAACACGUGUAACUUUAAUGCUUCAUUCAGUUCAUGCAGCAUACCAAAAUAAAUGUGAUUUCCUUCUGCUUGCAGAGCUGCUCUGGAGAUGAACAAUGGAAUGGGGUCCAUUAUAAUUAAUUUCUCAUCAUGCACAGGAGCUUUGAAAACUUGGUUCAAAUGAGUUUAAUUCUGGUCAUUCAUCAGCAGAUUUUACAGACUUCUAUUCAUUUUUAGAGGACACUGCCUAAUGCCUUUGAGGAGAGACUCUACCCCAGACUCACUGACUAGGGAGCUAGAAGGCAAUAAAAAAGUAGCCUGGACUCUCAAAAAUACUGAAAAUACCCAAAA